rnacentral:rRNA from 1 species
AUGUUGAUUGGUUGCUUGAAUGACUUCUUGCUGUCAUCGGGUGUUAACCGUAUCCAGAGGUCUAAACAACCAUGCCUCAGUUGUACGAUAAAUAAGGAAAAACGCCAGGCAUUUGUUGAAUUUCUUACACCAGAGGAUGCUACAGCAGCUCUUUCUUUCGAUGGAAGAUCUUUCAAUGGGUCUACUCUGAGAAUUAGACGCCCCAAAGAAUAUAUUGAAAUGGCAGUGUUGGCAGUUUUUAACAUUUCAGAGGCUUCCUGCAUGUUUGGAAUUUAUUUGCAGCUAAGAGCGUGUUUGGAUGGCAUCCAUGCCACCACAAGCCUGGCCUGGACAGGUCCCUGGGUUCUGCCUGGCGGUUGUUUUGUUUGUGUCCACGUGAAGAAGCUGCAUGCCUGGCCUGGCAGACUCAGCGGUGUGAUUAGCCUGGCCAGGGUAAAAAAACAUGGAAGGAAAACAAUAUCUUUUCCCAGGCAGUGGUAUUAG